AGUGAACGCUGGCGGUAGGCCUAACACAUGCAAGUCGAACGGCAGCACAGUAAGAGCUUGCUCUUACGGGUGGCGAGUGGCGGACGGGUGAGGAAUACAUCGGAAUCUACUUUUUCGUGGGGGAUAACGUAGGGAAACUGACGCUAAUACCGCAUACGACCUACGGGUGAAAGCAGGGGAGCUUCGGACCUUGCGCGAUUGAAUGAGCCGAUGUCGGAUUAGCUAGUUGGCGGGGUAAAGGCCCACCAAGGCGACGAUCCGUAGCUGGUCUGAGAGGAUGAUCAGCCACACUGGAACUGAGACACGGUCCAGACUCCUACGGGAGGCAGCAGUGGGGAAUAUUGGACAAUGGGCGCAAGCCUGAUCCAGCCAUACCGCGUGGGUGAAGAAGGCCUUCGGGUUGUAAAGCCCUUUUGUUGGGAAAGAAAAGCAGCAGGUUAAUACCCCGCUGUUCUGACGGUACCCAAAGAAUAAGCACCGGCUAACUUCGUG
rnacentral:rRNA from 1 species